AGAGUUUGAUCCUGGCUCAGGACGAACGCUGGCGGCGUGCCUAACACAUGCAAGUCGAACGGAACUGUUUUGAAAGAUUUCUUCGGAAUGAAUUUGAUUUAGUUUAGUGGCGGACGGGUGAGUAACGCGUGAGUAACCUGCCUUCAAGAGGGGGAUAACAUUCUGAAAAGAAUGCUAAUACCGCAUGACAUAUCGGAACCACAUGAUUUUGAUAUCAAAGAUUUUAUCGCUUGAAGAUGGACUCGCGUCCGAUUAGUUAGUUGGUGAGGUAACGGCUCACCAAGACCGCGAUCGGUAGCCGGACUGAGAGGUUGAACGGCCACAUUGGGACUGAGACACGGCCCAGACUCCUACGGGAGGCAGCAGUGGGGGAUAUUGCGCAAUGGGGGCAACCCUGACGCAGCAACGCCGCGUGAAGGAUGAAGGUUUUCGGAUUGUAAACUUCUUUUAUUAAGGACGAAAAAUGACGGUACUUAAUGAAUAAGCUCCGGCUAACUACGUGCCAGCAGCCGCGGUAAUACGUAGGGAGCAAGCGUUGUCCGGAUUUACUGGGUGUAAAGGGUGCGUAGGCGGCUUUGCAAGUCAGAUGUGAAAUCUAUGGGCUCAACCCAUAAACUGCAUUUGAAACUGUAGAGCUUGAGUGAAGUAGAGGCAGGCGGAAUUCCCCGUGUAGCGGUGAAAUGCGUAGAGAUGGGGAGGAACACCAGUGGCGAAGGCGGCCUGCUGGGCUUUAACUGACGCUGAGGCACGAAAGCGUGGGUAGCAAACAGGAUUAGAUACCCUGGUAGUCCACGCUGUAAACG
rnacentral:rRNA from 1 species